CAUCGCGUCCGGCCCGCCUCCGCGCCGGCGGCCUGUUUCCAGCGGAAGCGCGGGCCAGAGCGGCCCCUAUUGUUGCUGUGUCAUAGGGGAGCGGCGGCGGCCCCUGGCGGCGGCGCCGGGAACAUCGGUCUGGUCUCCGCGACACCCAGAAGGGACCCCGCGGGGCGGCGCUGCAGCAGCGGCCGAGGUCGGACAGGGAUGGUGAGCACUAAAGGUGCCCAUGGAGCCGAGCUGUGACAUACUCGCAGGGACGGCUGUCCUCUGCGUUAUCUACCUGGUUCUGAAUGGAGCCAGCUCUCCACAACCGCAGGAAGACUGCCUUAUCUGAUGUGCAUUAUUUGAAUUGAAAAGCUGGAAUUGGAGAAGCAGAUUCAAAAAACUGCGCGCAUCAGGGCCAGGCCUGCUUUCUCUAGCCAAGCCCUGGCAAGAAGACGUGGAUGCUGGUGACCCAGCUUCAGAGGACCAUCAGAGCAAUGAGAUACAGCCAGUUGUUUCAAUAAUUUAAAAAGUUACUUUUUUACAUAAAACACUCCAGAUGCGUUUAUCUUCUCACCUCUAAAUCUCUAAUAGAUUACAGUAAUUUUCCUUGCGCUUGUAGAAAUGUGACACAAUUCUAACUUCAAUUAGAAUAAAAGCAAAAAACAAGAGCUAUUUGAGAUUAUCA